AGAGUUUGAUCAUGGCUCAGAUUGAACGCUGGCGGCAGGCCUAACACAUGCAAGUCGAGCGGUAACAGAAAAGAAGCUUGCUUCUUUUGCUGACGAGCGGCGGACGGGUGAGUAAUGCCUGGGAAUAUACCCUGAUGUGGGGGAUAACUAUUGGAAACGAUAGCUAAUACCGCAUAAUCUCUUCGGAGCAAAGAGGGGGACCUUCGGGCCUCUCGCGUCAGGAUUAGCCCAGGUGGGAUUAGCUAGUUGGUGGGGUAAUGGCUCACCAAGGCGACGAUCCCUAGCUGGUCUGAGAGGAUGAUCAGCCACACUGGAACUGAGACACGGUCCAGACUCCUACGGGAGGCAGCAGUGGGGAAUAUUGCACAAUGGGGGAAACCCUGAUGCAGCCAUGCCGCGUGUAUGAAGAAGGCCUUCGGGUUGUAAAGUACUUUCAGUUGUGAGGAAGGCGUUGGAGUUAAUAGCUUCAGCGUUUGACGUUAGCAACAGAAGAAGCACCGGCUAACUCCGUGCCAGCAGCCGCGGUAAU
rnacentral:rRNA from 1 species